UACGUAGGGUGCAAGCGUUGUCCGGAAUUAUUGGGCGUAAAGAGCUCGUAGGCGGUCUGUCGCGUCGGCUGUGAAAACCCGGAGCUCAACUCCGGGCCUGCAGUCGAUACGGGCAGACUGGAGUUCGGCAGGGGAGACUGGAAUUCCUGGUGUAGCGGUGAAAUGCGCAGAUAUCAGGAGGAACACCGAUGGCGAAGGCAGGUCUCUGGGCCGAUACUGACGCUGAGGAGCGAAAGCGUGGGAGCGAACAGG
rnacentral:rRNA from 1 species